CGCCCGAACACAAAUAGCAACCGGAGACCGAUGACGGUAUCUCAGUGAUUGGUCCUGAGCGCUGCUUCCUUUGCGGUUUCAUUGGCUCACCGUUUAACAGAAGAAGUUGCCAACAUAGAGCGGAGAGAAUACAUCAUCACUCCCUGCAAGCAUGUUUUGAAUUUUAUGGUGUGGCAAUGAUGUCAGCGUUUUACAUGGAGCCUUCAUGAGUGCCGCCUUGUACCUGUUCUUUCUCCAGAAUGAUCUGUGCUGUUUGAGAAGAAAAUGAAACCACCCCAUAUCUUUGUGUUCCACAUGUCCCUUUACCAGAGAGAUUGUAAGAAGCUUCCAAAACAGCCAUAUUGUGGGUCAAACACUCUCAUAGGUAAUAUUACGUCAGAUCCCUCUCACACUUCAUUUGAAGAAUAUCAGCUUUUGCCACUACAC